rnacentral:rRNA from 1 species
GCUAGCGGCAUGCUUAACACAUGCAAGUCGAACGGCAGCGCGAGGAGCUUGCUCCUUGGCGGCGAGUGGCGGACGGGUGAGUAACGCGUAGGAAUCUACCUAGUAGUGGGGGACAACUCGGGGAAACUCGAGCUAAUACCGCAUAAUCUCUACGGAGCAAAGCGGGGGAUCUUCGGACCUCGCGCUAUUAGAUGAGCCUGCGUCGGAUUAGCUUGUUGGUGGGGUAAAGGCCUACCAAGGCGACGAUCCGUAGCUGGUCUGAGAGGAUGAUCAGCCACACUGGGACUGAGACACGGCCCAGACUCCUACGGGAGGCAGCAGUGGGGAAUAUUGGACAAUGGGGGCAACCCUGAUCCAGCAAUGCCGCGUGUGUGAAGAAGGCCUUCGGGUUGUAAAGCACUUUCAGUAGAGAAGAAAAGCUUAUGGAUAAUACCCAUGAGUCUUGACGUUAUCUGCAGAAGAAGCACUGGCUAACUCUGUGCCAGCAGCCGCGGUAAUACAGAGAGUGCAAGCGUUAAUCAGAAUUACUGGGCGUAAAGCGCAC